AUUGAACGCUGGCGGAAUGCUUUACACAUGCAAGUCGAACGGUAGAGGGGCAACCCCUUAGAGAGUGGCGAACGGGUGAGUAAUAUAUCGGAACGUGCCCAGUCGUGGGGAUAACGUAGCGAAGUUACGCUAAUACCGCAUACGAUCUAAGGAUGAAAGCGGGGGAUCGCAAGACCUCGCGCGAUUGGAGCGGCCGAUAUCAGAUUAGGUAGUUGGUGGGGUAAUGGCUCACCAAGGCGACGAUCCGUAACUGGUCUGAGAGGAUGAUCAGUCACACCUGGAACUGAGACACGGUCCAGACUCCUACGGGAGGCAGCAGUGGGGAAUAUUGGACAAUGGGCGAAAGCCUGAUCCAGCCAUGCCGCGUGUGU
rnacentral:rRNA from 1 species